AACUAACUCUUUCUUCAUGCCUAACACAUGCAAGUCGAACGAGACCUUCGGGUCUAGUGGCUCACGGGUGCGUAACGCGUGGGAACCUGCCCUUAGGUUCGGAAUAACUCCCCGAAAGGGGUGCUAAUACCGGAUAAUGUCUUCUGACCAAAGAUUUAUCGCCUUUGGAUGGGCCCGCGUUGUAUUAGCUAGUUGGUAGGGUAAAAGCCUACCAAGGCGACGAUCCAUAGCUGGUCUGAGAGGAUGAUCAGCCACACUGGGACUGAGACACGGCCCAGACUACUACGGGAGGCAGCAGUGGGGAAUAUUGGACAAUGGGCGAAAGGCUGAUCCAGCAAUGCCGCGUGAGUGAUGAAGGCCUUAGGGUUGUAAAGCUCUUUUACCCGGGAUGAUAAUGACAGUACCGGGAGAAUAAGCUCCGGCUAACUCCGUG
rnacentral:rRNA from 1 species